UUUCCUCUUCUGCAUGCCAUCACCACCGCAAUUAUGUCUGCUUUUUUUUAUCUUCUUUUGCUUUCUGCUUUUACUUUCUCUUUUUGCUUUUGUUUUCUGCUUUUCUUGAUCUCCCCGCUCAUUCUCUGUCCACCGGUGUUGCUUUGUAAGGUAUCUUUUGCUUGCAAACCCACUCGCUUUUCUUGGACAACCUGGUCAUGCCCAUCCAUUCUUACUCCUCCUUUUUCUUUUCUGUAAAGGAAAAGAGACUUUGGGGAAUCUGUGAAAGAAAAGAGAGAGUUUUUCUUGGACAGCCUGGUCGUGCCCAUCCAUUCUUACUCCUUAUUUUUCUGCUGCAUUGCUGGCAAAACCUUUGGUAGAGGCCAGAGACAAGCACAAAACUUUAUGCUUUCUAUGAUACUGCUUUUCUUCACUCAGAUCAGCUAUGCACCUGUCCGCCUGACACCGUCUCAUUGCGCCACCUCCUCCUCCGCUAGAUGACAAGGAUGACGACGAUCUCUUUUCUUUUUUCUGUCUACUUGCAGCUCACCAUCAAAUUUCUCAUCCUCCCUCUUCACGGCUCUCUCAAUCGCAGCCGUUCCCUGACGAACAUAGGCUCCAGAACAUUAUGCGGAGGUUGAGGGAGGGCAGAGAGAGAGAGACGAUGCGGGCUUCAUUGGUGGAGCAUCGGACCUUAAGAGUGCCGUUGCAGCGGCAAGGAGCUUUGAGUUUGUGAAGCGCCUCUACUUUCUCCUUUGCUUCAGUACUACUUUUCCCUGAGGUGAACGCCGCCGCUUUCUCCACCAUCUUGCUUGCGGUUUCCAUCGAAGAUUUUGUACGUUACUGGAGAUCUCCUCUAAGCCUCUCUCUUUUCAGAGACUCUCUCUCUCUCUCUCUCUCUCUCUAAAAACUCUCUUUUGAGAGUUGUCUGAAUUGGCGUCUCUUAAAAUUGU